UGGGCGGGGACGGGGUGAGUAAUGUGUAGGGAACUGCCUGAUGGAGGGGGAUAACUACUGGAAACGGUAGCUAAUACCGCAUAACGUCGCAAGACCAAAGAGGGGGACCUUCGGGCCUCUUGCCAUCGGAUGUGCCCAGAUGGGAUUAGCUAGUAGGUGGGGUAACGGCUCACCUAGGCGACGAUCCCUAGCUGGUCUGAGAGGAUGACCAGCCACACUGGAACUGAGACACGGUCCAG
rnacentral:rRNA from 1 species